GAGAGCCGGAUGCGCCGAGAGGCGCAUGUCCGGUUCGGGGAGGAGAGGCAGGGAAACGGUCUACCGCUCCCUGUCUCUUACUCCAC
rnacentral:ncRNA from 1 species